rnacentral:rRNA from 1 species
AGAGUUUGAUCCUGGCUCAGGACGAACGCUGGCGGCGUGCCUAAUACAUGCAAGUCGAGCGGAUGAAAGAGAGCUUGCUCUCUGGAUUCAGCGGCGGACGGGUGAGUAACACGUGGGCAACCUGCCUGUAAGACUGGGAUAACUCCGGGAAACCGGGGCUAAUACCGGAUAACUUCUUUUCCCGCAUGGGGAGAGGUUGAAAGACGGUUUUGCUGUCACUUACAGAUGGGCCCGCGGCGCAUUAGCUAGUUGGUGGGGUAACGGCCUACCAAGGCGACGAUGCGUAGCCGACCUGAGAGGGUGAUCGGCCACACUGGGACUGAGACACGGCCCAGACUCCUACGGGAGGCAGCAGUAGGGAAUCUUCCGCAAUGGACGAAAGUCUGACGGAGCAACGCCGCGUGAGUGACGAAGGCCUUCGGGUCGUAAAACUCUGUUAUCAGGGAAGAACAAGCAUCGUUUAACUGACGGUACCAUGACGGUACCUGACCAGAAAGCCACGGCUAACUACGUGCCAGCAGCCGCGGUAAUACGUAGGUGGCAAGCGUUGUCCGGAAUUAUUGGGCGUAAAGCGCGCGCAAGGCGGCUUCUUAAGUCUGAUGUGAAAGCCCACGGCUCAGCCGUGGAGGGUCAUUGGAAACUGGGAGGCUUGAGUGCAGAAGAGGAGAGCGGUAMUUCCACGUGUAGCGGUGAAAUGCGUAGAGAUGUGGAGGAACACCAGUGGCGAAGGCGGCUCUCUGGUCUGUAACUGACGCUGAGGCGCGAAAGCGUGGGUAGCGAACAGGAUUAGAUACCCUGGUAGUCCACGCCGUAAACGAUGAGUGCUAAGUGUUAGGGGGUUUCCGCCCCUUAGUGCUGCAGCAAACGCAUUAAGCACUCCGCYKGGGGAGUACGGCCGCAAGGCUGAAACUCAAAGGGAAUUGACGGGGGCCCGCACAAGCGGGUGGAAGCAUGGUGGUYUAAUUCGAAGCAACGCGAAGAACCUUACCAGGUCUUGACAUCCCGCUGACCGGUCUGGAGACAGGCCUUUCCCUUCGGGGACAGCGGUGACAGGUGGUGCAUGGUUGUCGUCAGCUCGUGUCGUGAGAUGUUGGGUUAAGUCCCGCAACGAGCGCAACCCUUGAUCUUAGUUGCCAGCAUUCAGUUGGGCACUCUAAGGUGACUGCCGGUGACAAACCGGAGGAAGGUGGGGAUGACGUCAAAUCAUCAUGCCCCUUAUGACCUGGGCUACACACGUGCUACAAUGGAUGGUACAGAGGGCAGCGAGACCGCGAGGUGGAGCGAAUCCCUUAAAACCAUUCUCAGUUCGGAUUGCAGGCUGCAACCCGCCUGCAUGAAGCCGGAAUCGCUAGUAAUCGCGGAUCAGCAUGCCGCGGUGAAUACGUUCCCGGGCCUUGUACACACCGCCCGUCACACCUCGAGAGUUUGUAACACCCGAAGUCGGUGGGGUAACCUUUUGGAGCCAGCCGCCGAAGGUGGGACAGAUGAUUGGGGUGAAGUCGUAACAAGGUAGCCGUAUCGGAAGGUGCGGCUGGAUCACCUCCUU